rnacentral:rRNA from 1 species
UACGGGGGGGGUAAGCGUUGUUCGGAAUUACUGGGCGUAAAGGGCUGGUAGGCGGCCAACUAAGUCGGAUGUGAAAUCCCCAGGCUUAACCCGGGAACUGCGUCCGAUACUGGUUGGCUUGAAUCCGGGAGAGGGAUGCGGAAUUCCAGGUGUAGCGGUGAAAUGCGUAGAUAUCUGGAGGAACACCGGUGGCGAAGGCGGCAUCCUGGACCGGCAUUGACGCUGAGGCGCGAAAGCCAGGGGAGCAAACGGG